UACGGAGGGUGCGAGCGUUGUCCGGAAUCAUGCGUGGGCGUAAAGGGCGCGUAGGCGGCCUGAUAAGUAGGGGUGAAAUCCUGCGGCUUAACCGCAGGGCUGCCUUCUAAACUGUCAGGCUCGAGCACAGUAGAGGCAGGUGGAAUUCCCGGUGUAGCGGAUGGAAUGCGUAGAGAUCGGGAAGAACCAUCAGUGGCGAAGGCGGCCUGCUGGGCUGUUGCUGACGCUGAGGCGCGACAGCGUGGGGAGCAAACAGGAUUGAGAUACCCUUG
rnacentral:rRNA from 1 species